rnacentral:rRNA from 1 species
UGAGGAAUAUUGGUCAAUGGGCGAGAGCCUGAACCAGCCAAGUCGCGUGAGGGAAGACGGUCCUACGGAUUGUAAACCUCUUUUGUCGGGGAGUAAUAGGCGGGACGUGUCCUGCUGUGAGAGUACCCGAAGAAUAAGCAUCGGCUAAUUCCGUGCCAGCAGCCGCGGUAAUACGGAAGAUGCGAGCGUUAUCCGGAUUUAUUGGGUUUAAAGGGAGCGUAGGCGGGAGGUUAAGUCAGUUGUGAAAGUCUGCGGCUCAACCGUAGAAUUGCAGUUGAUACUGUCCUUCUUGAGUGCGGCAGAGGCAGGCGGAAUUCGUGGUGUAGCGGUGAAAUGCUUAGAUAUCACGAAGAACCCCGAUUGCGAAGGCAGCCUGCUGGACCGUAACUGACGCUGAUGCUCGAAAGUGCGGGAAUCAAACAGGAUUAAAUACCCUGGUAGU